UACGUAGGCAGCGAGCGUUGUUCGGAGUUACUGGGCGUAAAGAGUGCGUAGGCGGUGCUCCAAGUCUGGUGUGAAAUCUCCCGGCUUAACCGGGAGGGUGCGCCGGAAACUGGGGUGCUGGAGUGUGGGAGAGGUAAGCGGAAUUCCCGGUGUAGCGGUGAAAUGCGUAGAUAUGUGGAGGAACACCAGUGGCGAAGGCGGCUUUCUGGCCUGUAACUGACGCUGAGGCGCGAAAGCGUGGGGAGCAAACAGG
rnacentral:rRNA from 1 species